rnacentral:rRNA from 1 species
GGCGGCCUACGGGGGGCAGCAGUGGGGGAUAUUGCACAAUGGGGGGAACCCUGAUGCAGCGACGCCGCGUGGGUGAAGGAGCGUUUCGGCGCGUAAAGCCCUAUCGGCAGGGAAGAAGGAGGACGGUACCUGACUAAGAAGCCCCGGCUAACUACGUGCCAGCAGCCGCGGUAAUACGUAGGGGGCAAGCGUUAUCCGGAUUUACUGGGUGUAAAGGGAGCGUAGACGGCGAUGCCAGUCUGAAGUGAAAGGCGGGGGCCCAACCCCCGGACUGCUUUGGGAACUG